UGCGAGUCGACGGCAGCAUGGGCUUCGGCCUGAUGGCGAGUGGCGAACGGGUUCAAACAUAUCGGAACGUACCGAGCAGCGGGGGAUAACUGUCCGAAAGGAUGGCUAAUACCGCAUACGCCCUAAGGGGGAAAGUGGGGGACCGCAAGGCCUCACACUGCUUGAGCGGCCGAUAACUGAUUAGCUUGUUGGUGGGGUAAAGGCCUACCAAGGCGACGAUCAGUAGCGGGUCUGAGAGGAUGAUCCGCCACAUUGGGACUGAGACACGGCCCAAACUCCUACGGGAGGCAGCAGUGGGGAAUUUUGGACAAUGGGCGCAAGCCUGAUCCAGCCAUGCCGCGUGAGUGAAGAAGGCCUUCGGGUUGUAAAGCUCUUUUGUCGGGGAAGAAAAGCCCGUGGUUAAUACCCCCGGGCGCUGACGGUACCCGAAGAAUAAGCACCGGCUAACUACGUGCCAGCAGCCGCGGUAAUACGUAGGGUGCGAGCGUUAAUCGGAAUUACUGGGCGUAAAGCGGGCGCAGACGGUUAUUCAAGUCAGGUGUGAAAUCCCCGAGCUCAACUUGGGAAUGGCGCUUGAAACUGGAUGGCUAGAGUGUGUCAGAGGGAGGUAGAAUUCCGCGUGUAGCAGUGAAAUGCGUAGAGAUGCGGAGGAAUACCGAUGGCGAAGGCAGCCUCCUGGGAUAACACUGACGUUCAUGUCCGAAAGCGUGGGUAGCAAACAGGAUUAGAUACCCUGGUAGUCCACGCCCUAAACGAUGACAAUUAGCUGUUGGGGAGCAUGACUUCUUAGUAGCGUAGCUAACGCGUGAAAUUGUCCGCCCUGGGGAGUACGGUCGCAAGAUUAAAACUCA
rnacentral:rRNA from 1 species